rnacentral:miRNA from 1 species
UGAUGAUGACGAUGAUGACGACGAUGUAGAUGAUGAUGGGAUGUUCGACGAGGAGGAGGAUGAGAAGGAGGGAACAGCUGGACAAUCAUCAUCAUCAUCAUCGUCAUCGUCAUCG